GCGGGCGUGAUGGAAUUGGUAGACAUAUGGCACUUAAAAUGCCUGGGCCGAAUGGCCGUGCCGGUUCGAGUCCGGCCGCCCGCACCA
rnacentral:tRNA from 1 species